rnacentral:rRNA from 1 species
GUGCCAGCCGCCGCGGUAAUACAGGGGGGGCAAGCGUUGUUCGGAAUUACUGGGCGUAAAGGGCUCGUAGGCGGCCAAUUAAGUCCGACGUGAAAUCCCCAGGCUUAACCUGGGAACUGCGUCGGAUACUGAUUGGCUUGAAUCCGGGAGAGGGAUGCGGAAUUCCAGGUGUAGCGGUGAAAUGCGUAGAUAUCUGGAGGAACACCGGUGGCGAAGGCGGCAUCCUGGACCGGCAUUGACGCUGAACAGCGAAAGCCAGGGGAGCAAACGGGAUUAGAAACCCCGGUAGUCC